rnacentral:rRNA from 1 species
AAAUAGAUACCCUGGUAGUCCACGCCGUAAAACGAUGAGUGCUAAGUGUUAGAGGGUUUCCGCCCUUUAGUGCUGCAGCUAACGCAUUAAGCACUCCGCCUGGGGAGUACGGCCGCAAGGCUGAAACUCAAAGGAAUUGACGGGGGCCCGCACAAGCGGUGGAGCAUGUGGUUUAAUUCGAAGCAACGCGAAGAACCUUACCAGGUCUUGACAUCCUCUGACAACCCUAGAGAUAGGGCUUUCCCCUUCGGGGGACAGAGUGACAGGUGGUGCAUGGUUGUCGUCAGCUCGUGUCGUGAGAUGUUGGGUUAAGUCCCGCAACGAGCGCAACCCUUGACCUUAGUUGCCAGCAUUCAGUUGGGCACUCUAAGGUGACUGCCGGUGACAAACCGGAGGAAGGUGGGGAUGACGUCAAAUCAUCAUGCCCCUUAUGACCUGGCUACACACGUGCUACAAUGGAUGGUACAAAGGGCUGCAAACCUGCGAAGGUAGCGAAUCCCGAUAAAGCCAUUCUCAGUUCGGAUUGCAGGCUCG